rnacentral:lncRNA from 1 species
UACAACCAUCUCCAUGAAUAGGAAGAGUCUUCCCCCUCAUGGCUAAAAGUAUAAACUUUGGAAUUAGUUUCUCCGGGAAUUGAUUAGGACCAUAGACAUUGUUCCCUCUAGUGGUUAUAACAGGUAAACCGUAUGAUCUACCGUAAGCCAUAACAAGCAUCUCGGCCCCGGCUUUUGUGGCUGAAUAUGGGUUAGUGGGAAGGAGUUGCGAGGCUUCGUGAUUUCCUACAAUAGCAUCCUCGUCAGUCUCCCCAUAAACUUCAUCCGUACUGACAUGGAUAAACCUUCUGAUCUGACCAGUAACUUUGCAGGCUUCUAAUAGUACGUGGGUACCAUAGAUGUUGUUCUUAGUGAACUCAAAGCAUAAAGAUAACUACGAACAUUACAACCAUCUCCAUGAAUAGGAAGAGUCUUCCCCCUCAUGGCUAAAAGUAUAAACUUUGGAAUUAGUUUCUCCGGGAAUUGAUUAGGACCAUAGACAUUGUUCCCUCUAGUGGUUAUAACAGGUAAACCGUAUGAUCUACCGUAAGCCAUAACAAGCAUCUCGGCCCCGGCUUUUGUGGCUGAAUAUGGGUUAGUGGGAAGGAGUUGCGAGGCUUCGUGAUUUCCUACAAUAGCAUCCUCGUCAGUCUCCCCAUAAACUUC